rnacentral:rRNA from 1 species
CCUACGGGAGACAGCAGUGAGGAAUAUUGGUCAAUGGACAAGAGUCUGAACCAGCCAAGUAGCGUGAAGGAUGACUGCCCUAUGGGUUGUAAACUUCUUUUAUAUGGGAAUAAAAUGUUCCACGUGUGGGAUUUUGUAUGUACCAUAUGAAUAAGGAUCGGCUAACUCCGUGCCAGCAGCCGCGGUAAUACGGAGGAUCCGAGCGUUAUCCGGAUUUAUUGGGUUUAAAGGGAGCGUAGGUGGAUUGUUAAGUCAGUUGUGAAAGUUUGCGGCUCAACCGUAAAAUUGCAGUUGAAACUGGCAGUCUUGAGUACAGUAGAGGUGGGCGGAAUUCGUGGUGUAGCGGUGAAAUGCUUAGAUAUCACGAAGAACUCCGAUUGCGAAGGCAGUUCACUGGACUGCAACUGACACUGAGGCUCGAAAGUGUGGGUAUCAAACAGGAUUAGAUACCCGAGUAGUC